rnacentral:tRNA from 1 species
GCACCUGAAAGCCUUUCAAUAAAAGAUUUUCAACUGCCUUCUAAGCAGUCGGUCGAAGGUUCGAGUCCUUCCUGGGGCG